AUACGAAGGGUGCAAGCGUUACUCGGAAUUACUGGGCGUAAAGCGUGCGUAGGUGGUUGUUUAAGUCUGUCGUGAAAGCCCUAGGGCUCAACCUGGGAAUUGCGAUGGAAACUGGGCGACUAGAGUGUGGCAGAGGAUAGUGGAAUUCCUGGUGUAGCAGUGAAAUGCGUAGAGAUCAGGAGGAACAUCCGUGGCGAAGGCGACUGUCUGGGCCAACACUGACACUGAGGCACGAAAGCGUGGGGAGC
rnacentral:rRNA from 1 species